GCGGGUGUAGCUCAAUGGUAGAGUCCGGGCCUUCCAAGCCUGAGGUGUGGGUUCGAUUCCCAUCACCCGCUCCA
rnacentral:tRNA from 1 species